AAUCCAUGCAUUGGCCAUUUUCAAAUUAAAUCUUUAAAUCGUUCCCAAGCUUCAUAGAAUGUUUCAUCCUCUAACUACCAAAAAGACAUGAUGUCAUUUCUAAGCUU
rfam:Gossypium hirsutum cultivar TM-1 chromosome 17, whole genome shotgun sequence